GACGAACGCUGGCGGCGUGCCUAAUACAUGCAAGUAGAACGCACAGUUUAUACCGUAGCUUGCUACACCAUAAACUGUGAGUUGCGAACGGGUGAGUAACGCGUAGGUAACCUGCCUGGUAGCGGGGGAUAACUAUUGGAAACGAUAGCUAAUACCGCAUAAUAUUAAUUAUUGCAUGAUAAUUGAUUGAAAGAUGCAAUUGCAUCACUACCAGAUGGACCUGCGUUGUAUUAGCUAGUAGGUGAGGUAACGGCUCACCUAGGCGACGAUACAUAGCCGACCUGAGAGGGUGAUAGGCCACACUGGGACUGAGACACGGCCCAGACUCCUACGGGAGGCAGCAGUAGGGAAUCUUCGGCAAUGGACGAAAGUCUGACCGAGCAACGCCGCGUGAGUGAAGAAGGUUUUCGGAUCGUAAAGCUCUGUUGUAAGAGAAGAACGGGUGUGAGAGUGGAAAGUUCACACUGUGACGGUAUCUUACCAGAAAGGGACGGCUAACUACGUG
rnacentral:rRNA from 1 species